GACAGAGGGUGCAAACGUUGUUCGGAAUUACUGGGCGUAAAGCGCGUGUAGGCGGUUCGUAAAGUCGGAUGUGAAAGCCCUGGGCUUAACCCAGGAAGUGCAUUCGAAACUCACGAACUUGAGUCCCGGAGAGGAAGGCGGAAUUCUCGGUGUAGAGGUGAAAUUCGUAGAUAUCGAGAGGAACAUCUGUGGCGAAGGCGGCCUCUGGACGGUGACUGACGCUGAGACGCGAAAGCGUGGGGAGCAAACAGG
rnacentral:rRNA from 1 species